rnacentral:rRNA from 1 species
AGAACGAACGCUGGCGGCAUGCCUAAUACAUGCAAGUCGAACGAACACUUCGGUGUUAGUGGCGCACGGGUGCGUAACGCGUGGGAAUCUGCCCUUGGGUUCGGAAUAA